ACUGUGAUUUGACCAUCCUCUAUAUGUAAGACUAGCGUAUUAGGAUAACCAAAGCAGCGCUGUUCAGAACAGCAAAGUAGAAUAAGACAAGACAGGGGGUGUUAAGCUGUACGCUGGUGCAAAAUACGUUGCACACCGUUCAAAUUAGCAACCCUAGCCUUGCAGCGUGUGAUGGAAAAAAAAAUAGCCUUAUUCGGGAUGUUGCAAUGUGACAGCCUGACGCUCCAAGUAUACAUGCUGGAGAGAUUUGGGUUGCAGUGCAUGCAGAGACCGGUUGGAUGCUUGUCUGUUAAGUACAAUGUGUGCUCUACUCUGAAACAGGCACUCAAAUGAUACACAGCAGCAAAAAGACAAAACAGAGGGACAUUCACAAACAAAUAUACAAGACUUAGGAGACCCCAGCCGUCCACGGCAUCCAAGAGAGCUGAAGAUCCGAGGCCACACAGCCCAAUGACAACCAUGCGUCUAACCUAGCUGAGGGAGCAGUGACGAACCCUGGACCUUCUCAACACAUGGACAAGCUGAGGAACCCCAGCUGACAUACGAGCCCUCGUCCCCCUGACACACCAGCCACAGUAAGGGUCGUGGGCCAAGAGACAGGAGUGGCAGUCUGGAUGCUGCUGACACUCAGCCACUGGCCUCUUCUGCAGCUAGAACCAGGACAACACAAUCAAGUUCAGUCAUGCAAACCAUCCACACUAAGCUCCUAAAAGCUCCUGAUUUAAAAAAAAAAAAAGAUGAGAGAAAAGGCAGCCCAGAUUUCCCAGUGGUCAUUAAAAUAAUCCCAAAUACAACA